CGGCGCCACAAGUGGCAUCCAUAUUUAUUUGGCCUAAAGCGUCCGUAGCUGGUUUGAUUAAUCUUUUGUGAAAUUGUUGAGCUCAACUCAACAGCGUGCAGAAGACACUAUCAAACUUGGAACCGGGAGGAGUCGAAGGUAUUCCUUGGGGAGCGGUAAAAUGCUAUAAUCCUUGGAAGACCACCUGUGGCGAAGGCGUUCGACUAGAACGGAUUCGACAGUGAGGGACGAAAGCCAGGGGAGCGAUCCGGAUUAGAUACCCGAGUAGUCC
rnacentral:rRNA from 1 species